UGCAGCUUUGUCAAAUUCAUUGGGUUCUGGCCAAAUAUGACUGCCAGAGAGAAUGUAGCUCAUGGGUCCUUUGGGUUUACUGGGGAUAAAUGUGCUCCAAACACAA